rnacentral:rRNA from 1 species
UCUCCUGGAAACGGGUGGUAAUGCCGGAUGCUCCAGUUGACCGCAUGGUCCUCUGGGAAAGCUUUUGCGGUAUGGGAUGGGGUCGCGUCCUAUCAGCUUGACGGCGGGGUAACGGCCCACCAUGGCUUCGACGGGUAGCCGGCCUGAGAGGGCGACCGGCCACAUUGGGACUGAGAUACGGCCCAGACUCCUACGGGAGGCAGCAGUGGGGAAUAUUGCACAAUGGGCGCAAGCCUGAUGCAGCGACGCCGCGUGCGGGAUGACGGCCUUCGGGUUGUAAACCGCUUUUGACUGGGAGCAAGCCCUUCGGGGUGAGUGUACCUUUCGAAUAAGCACCGGCUAACUACGUGCCAGCAGCCGCGGUAAUACGUAGGGUGCAAGCGUUAUCCGGAAUUAUUGGGCGUAAAGGGCUCGUAGGCGGUUCGUCGCGUCCGGUGUGAAAGUCCAUCGCUUAACGGUGGAUCCGCGCCGGGUACGGGCGGGCUUGAGUGCGGUAGGGGAGACGGGAAUUCCCGGUGUAACGGUGGAAUGUGUAGAUAUCGGGAA